UCGGGCAUUAGUCACAGUGUGGCUGCUAGCUAGGAGUAGCUGUAAUUGAUGUUGGACUUCCCAGACUGCACUCACUCACUCUCUCUGUAUAUAUUCUAUAUAUCGAUGUUCAUAUCCUUAGUUGCCUUCCUGCGUGUUACUCCGCACAGAUCUCGCACUCACUCACUGCUAGUUAGCUAGCUAGCAGAGAUUGCAGCCCUAAUUUGAUGAUAGUGCAGACAUACCAUUUAACUAGCUACUAGCUAGUACGUGAAAGAGACGAAUAAGCUUCUACGUAUUGAGGUCAAAUAAACAUCAUCAUGGACUUGACAAGUCUCACUGCCAUGUGGUGGGCCAUAGCUCUUCUUUUCAUUACUGUAUUGGCCACCAAGAUCACAAGAGCAAGAAUCACCAACAUUGAUCCACAGCGUACAACAGGCCAACUUCCACCCAUGGUGAAUGGACUUGCUCUCCUAGGAUUAUUACCUACCCUUCUGAAGAAGGGUCUACCACCUAUGGUCAAUUAUCUAUAUGUUAACUAUGGCAGUGUCUUCACUGUAAGUUGCUUUGGAGUGAUCAAGGUAACACUCUUGAUCGGGCCAGAGGCGACGACUCAUUUCUUCCAAGGUUUGGAGUCAGAGAUUAGCCAUGGUAAUCUGCUUGAGUUCACAGUGCCCAUGUUUGGCAAGGCAGUUGGUUAUGGUAGAGAUACCGCCACCCGAAUGGAACAAAUGCGCUUCCACAGUGAAGCACUGAGGGCAUCCAGGUUAAGGAGCCAUGUUUCUCCAAUGCUUCAAGAAGUGGAGGAUUUCUUUGCAAAGUGGGGAGAGGAAGGCGUAGUUGAUCUAAAGCUUGAGUUCUAGCAGCUACUUAUGUUGAUAUCAGGCUGAUGUUUGCUUGGAAAAGAGGUCCGGGAGAAUAUGUUUGAUGAAGUCUACACACUUUUUCGCGAGAUCGAAAAGGGUGUGACCUUGAUCAGCUUCUUGUUCCCAUAUCUCCCAACUCCAGCAAACUGGCAGCGUGAUAGGGCGCGUAUAAGGCUAACAGAGAUCCUCUCUAAUGUUGUCGAAUCCCGUAAGAGCUCCGGGCGAGUGGAGGAGGACACGCUGCAGAAACUGAUUGACUCCAAGUACAAAGAUGGUCGCCCUACAACAGUAGAAGAGGUAGUCGGGUUGAUCAUUGGCUUGCUGUUUGCUGGAAAACACACCAGCUCUCAUACUAGUACUUGGACUGGAGCUUGUCUUCUCAGCCAUCCAGCCUUCUUAAGAGCUGCCAUUGAGGAGCAACAUCAAGUCGCCAAGAAAUACAAGGACGGACUAGAAUACAAUGCCUUCUUAGAGAUGGAUACGCUGCAUAAUUGCAUCAAGGAGGCGCUGCGGAAGAACCCUGCGACACCACUGCUGGUUCGCAGGGUCCAUAAGCGCUUCACGGUGCAGACGAAAGAAGGCCAACAAUAUGACAUCCAGCAGGACUACAUCGUAGCAACUCCUACUAUAGUAAACAACAAUAUCCCUUACAUUUAUACGGACCCUCAGGUGUAUGAUCCAAAUCGGUUUGGCCCCGAAAGAAGAGAGGACAAAGUGGGUGGCAAGUUCUCUUACACAUCAUUUGGUGGUGGAAGGCACGUUUGCACCGGAGAGGCUUAUGCUUACAUGCAACUCAAAGUGAUAUGGAGCCAUUUGCUGAGGAACUUUGAUCUCGAAUUGGUCUCUCCCUUCCCUAACACAGACUGGAGCAAGUUCUUGCCAGAUCCACAGGGAAAAUUACUCGUGAGAUAUACGAGAAAUGGAAUUUAAUUUGCAGUCGCUUAACUAUAUGAUCUACUUCUACGUGUAUUCAUGCAAUCAAUAUGUACUGUAUGCAUAUGUCUUUUCAUAUGUGUAACCUACAAAAAAGCAUGUUUGUAUUUGUGUGAUGCAUACUUGUAUUGGGAGACAAUCAUGUUGCGUUGAGUAGCGGACUAGGGGUUGAGUAUGGUCAAUACCCACAACUAUGUCCAUAAUAAAUAAAUAAAUAUAUUGUGUUUGUUGCUUU